rnacentral:rRNA from 1 species
GCCAGACUCCUACGGGAGGCAGCAGUGGGGAAUAUUGCACAAUGGGGGGAACCCUGAUGCAGCGACGCCGCGUGGGUGAAGGAGUACUUCGGUACGUAAAGCCCUAUCAGCAGGAAAGAAAAUGACGGUACCUGACUAAGAAGCCCCGGCUAACUACGUGCCAGCAGCCGCGGUAAUACGUAGGGGGCAAGCGUUAUCCGGAUUUACUGGGUGUAAAGGGGGCGCAGACGGCGAUGCAAGCCAGGAGUGAAAGCCCGGGGCCCAACCCCGGGACUGCUCUUGGAACUGCGUGGCUGGAGUGCAGGAGGGGCAGGCGGAAUUCCUGGUGUAGCGGUGAAAUGCGUAGAUAUCAGGAGGAACACCGGUGGCGAAGGCGGCCUGCUGGACUGCAACUGACGUUGAGGCUCGAAAGCGUGGGGAGCGAACAGGAUUAGAUACCCGAGUAUA